rnacentral:piRNA from 1 species
AAAGGAAGGACUAUGGAGCGUCA